rnacentral:rRNA from 1 species
AUGAGAUUGGUGAUGAACAUGGUUGCUGGUGAUCUGCUCAUGCGGCGAGUUAGUGUGCCGGAGGCGGCUCAGCCUGGCACAGAACAGUGCCUGAUCCGUUCUCGAAUUUCCUGUUCUGCCUCUCCCUUUCGGUUGUCUACUCAUUUAAUGCGUCUGCUGGCUGGCUUUAUUUUCCCCUCCAUACAGCUGCUAUACAGAGCACAAUACAACACUGGUCACACAUCCACAUGCCACCUGAUGGUUGUGAUUUCAGGAUCAGCUGAGCCUGGGCUCAGAAACCAAUAUUCGCAUGAAUGCUCCAUAGUUCUACAUGCAACACAGCUAAUUACUGAAUCUGCAAUGCAUGCUUAUUUCUGGCAGAAGCUUAGUGGAUGA